rnacentral:lncRNA from 1 species
CAUAAAAUAUUUUAUCAUUAAUGUAAUUUGUGAAUUGUGUAUUAAAUGAUGGCACAGUUAUCUGUUUAAACUAUAAAUUCUGUAUUCCAUUAAAUUUUGUCAGUAAUUUUGUUGGUGAAGAGUAAGAAAAAAAUAUAUUUUAGUUUUAAUAGCAUCCUCGCCAAAUUUUUGCAGUAGAGUAAGUUUAAUAUUAGAUUAGAAUUCAUAUUUGUCUUAAUGUUAAAAAUAAUGAAAUAAAAUACAGAUCAACACUCAUAAUCCAUGUCUAUGGCUGGUGUGUAUCAUGGACUCACAACAGUAAACCGCCGAGCUGCCAGUUUAUAUUUAUUUAUCUUAACUUAUAAUUCACCUUAUCCACAGAGUAAAAAGUGAAUGCAUGAUAUACAAUAUGCCAAUCUGUACUUAGUCUGUUUUUACUAGUGGUUUGUUAGGCACAAAGGUUGAAAAGCUAGUAAAAUUGUGAAAUUUUAAUUUCAUUUAAAUAACUAAAAUGGAAAAAAAACCAGUUUUGUUGUUUAUUCGAGGAACUUUUGUCCGAAGAACGAAAAGAUAAUUAAUUAUUUUUAUUUAUCAAAUGAAUAAUACUUAAAUAUAAUUAAUUAAUUGAAUGGUGGUAAUAAAUCUUGUGGUUUCAAUAAAUUCGAAAUUAUUAAUAUCAGAGGAGAAGAGAAACUUAUAGCUUCAGUCGAAAAAGGUGGGAAAAUUUUACUAUAGGUUUUACGUAAAAAACGAUGAAUUAUAUGAUACACCAAAUGAGAUAUACGUUAAUAUUGGUCAUUGUGGUAAGCAUUGAAUGAACAUAGAAAUAAAAAAUAAAUAUAGGUAUUUGACUCAAAAAGGGAUACUUUCUUAAAAUUUUGCGGAGCAUGUCAAACACAAACGUCAUCUAACCGAAAAGUUCUUGUAGGUAAACCGUUUAAUCAUUCUGAAUGAAUAUUAUAGUAAAUUAAAUGUAUAUGCAUUAAACAUUUUCUUUAAAAAUAUUUGAUCAAUUUUGUAUUUAUUUUCUCGUUAUCCUGAUUUUGACAUAUUUAACUUUUUGGGAGGGAUUUGAAUAUCAUAAAAUUUAUUUUAAUAAUAUAAUAAUAUUAUUAACUAAAGUAUUUUAAUUACUUUUUACAAAAAGUAAUAACAAUUACUACCUCCUAAUUAUAGUCAUAUCAAAACAUCAAAUCAUACAAGUAAUAAUCGGCACAAAAUAGGUAUGUAGGCACCUAUAUUAUAAAAUACAUGACUAAUAUCAUACGUAAAUAUUUUGUACAAUAAUAUUAUGUUAUUAUAUGGCUUUAUGAAUAAUGCAUAGUUUAUAAUUAAUAGUAAUUAAAAUAAGUGAAAAUUUCCAUAAUUUUAGUAAUUUUCAAAUUAAAAUAAACACAAAAAAGUAAUUUUUGAUCCUGUAUCGAAUAGGCAGUGAACCUGCGGUAAUUUUAACUGCAGUAAUUUUUUCAAUUAAUUUAUCUUAGACAGUCUAGUGAAAGUGAUCACACCAUAAUAAUCUACCUUAAAUGUAGGAUUAUAGUGUUUCAAUGAUUUUAAUGAUUUCAAUAGUACAAUAUUUUAUAUUUAAACAUUUAAUAACUUUAAAUUUUAUUGUAAUAUAACUGAUUUUGUCUGAUUCAAAUCAACUUUUGUUGAAUAGGUAAUUUACAAACUUGGCUAUCUAAACCUCUAGCAAGAACAUUUGGAUAAUCAGUCAACUACUACUAUAACGUAACGUGUAGCAAUUAUUACUGGCAACUGGAAUCAUACCUAUUACUAAAUAUAUAUUGUUAAGACCGUAACGUUUAAGUGAAAUAUAUUAAAAUCAAAGCAUAAAAUUAAUUUUGUGUCUCCUAAGAAUAUCGUAUUAUUCGAGUAUCUAUUUCGGAUUUAUUGCAAAUAUGCUGUUAAAAUUUAUCGUAUCGUAUGUUAUUAUUUAUUCUUUUAUGCCGGUGUCAGUACAAGGUAUAGGCGAAGGACCGUUUUCCCCUCCACCGAAAUCUCGUCUCCCUGAUGAUCCGCAUUUCGAGGACCCUGGCACUNUCACCUAUAAUGAUACUGUGAGAGUUUAGUUAUUUGUUUCUAUUAUUGAAAACCUUAACUCCAAAAUUAAUACAAAACAAUAACUUUUAUUGUAUUUUUUAAAUUAAAUUUGUUGUAUUUAUUAAACUUAAUACGAGUCCUAGGCAAAUGAAUCAAAUUAAAAAAACAUAUUUUAAACAGUAAUUUGUUUGGAAAUGUAUAUGUAAAGAACAAAAUAUGUUCCUUAAUAUAGUAUAUUGCUUAACCAAAUCAUUGUUGUGAAAGCAAAAUUAUCGACUGAACAUGACUUAGACUUGGAUUGUUCGUCAGCGAUGGUUUACGGUAUAUAUUAAAUUAUUUAAAAGAGUGGCUACAAUAUUCCCUUUUAUCCUACGACGUCUUUUUUUUUUUUUUAUUGUAAAUCUAUAUGCUGUUACAAUUUAUCGUUUCGUAUGUUAUUAUUUAUGCUUUUAUGUUAGUGUCAGUACACGGUGAUGGUGAGUUUGGUCCCGAUUUGCCACAACAAGAUCUCCUUACAAAUCGAUAGUCCUCUGAUGGCCCUGGUAAUCCACCUGUUCCCAAUUACCAUGGCAUUCCUUCUAACAAUAAUCAGAAUACCAAUAAACCUGGUUAAUUGAGCCACUUCUCACUAUUAAAUUGUUUACACCUUCCAACCACUAGAAUAUUGGGAUGCCAUUAAUUGCAUAUGCUAUAAUAAUAAUAUAUUAUAAAAAACCUGCUUUGUUAAUUUUAUAAUAACUUUAUUUUAGAUUUAAAAAAACACUAAAAUCAAUAUUUGUCCGUACAGUCAUUGUGUAAUAUGGUUUUUAUUAUUGAUGAAAUAAAAUAAUUUUUAAUUUCUAUUUAUUUGUUAUAUUGAUUACUUUGGUCAGUUGUUAAUCUUCAUAUUACCCAUGAAGAUCCUUCGAGACAUUAGUUAUUGGUUCGUGAUAUUGAAAACCACAACUCCAAUAUUAAGACAAAACAAUUACUUUCAUUGUAUUUUUUUUUUUAAAUAAAAUACCUUUUUUUUCUUAAACUUUAUACGAGUCCUAGGUAAAUGAAACAAAUNAAAAAUACGUACUUUAAACGUUAAGUACUCUGAAAACGUGUAUGUAAAGAACAAAAUAUGGUCUUUAAAAUAGUUUAAUGCUUUAACAUUCAUCAAAUGUUUUAUUAAAAGACGUUUAUAUUUUUCGAAAAUAAUAUGCAUAUUAUACAUAACGUAUCAUAUAUAUCCAUCAUUUUCUUCUGGCAUGAGAAUUAACAUAUUACUUAGUUUGUAAUUUGGUACAUUUCAAUAAUUAAAUUUCUCGAAUUCCUACUUACUUAAAUUUUUUUGAUAGAUUAAAAGUCAAAACUUUACGUAUUUAUUUUCCCAUAGUAUGGCAGUUGUUUUUUCAUAUAGUCCAGAAAAAAUUUAAAAUAUCCUAAAUAGUUUUCUCCAAUAAUUAUACUUAAAACUAUGUGUACAAAAAUUGAAUUGAUCGACCUUUUCUGUGAAACAACUAUAUUUAAAGUUCAACCAAUAAAGUCUACUUUUUAUUGAUAUAAUUUUAUAAAUUCUGGUGAAAUACACAUAAAUAUGACAGGAUAGUUAUUAUUUUUGUUAGUUUGCAAAAAGCUGCACAAACAGAUACAUAUUAUAAAUCAUAGAAAUGUGUUGCCAAUAUUUUAUUAUUAAAUAAAUCUGCGAAUUUUUUUUUGUUUUUUAUUAAUUAAACGGUACUAAAGUACACGUUAUAUCAAAAUAUGACAAUCGUGAUAUUUGCAAAUGAAGAAAAAAAAAAUUAAUUGCAACAUUUAUUGAUUUAGUGCCUUUAUAAAGAUAAAUNCCAUUAAAUUUUGUCAGUAAUUUUGUUGGUGAAGAGUAAGAAAAAAAUAUAUUUUAGUUUUAAUAGCAUCCUCGCCAAAUUUUUGCAGUAGAGUAAGUUUAAUAUUAGAUUAGAAUUCAUAUUUGUCUUAAUGUUAAAAAUAAUGAAAUAAAAUACAGAUCAACACUCAUAAUCCAUGUCUAUGGCUGGUGUGUAUCAUGGACUCACAACAGUAAACCGCCGAGCUGCCAGUUUAUAUUUAUUUAUCUUAACUUAUAAUUCACCUUAUCCACAGAGUAAAAAGUGAAUGCAUGAUAUACAAUAUGCCAAUCUGUACUUAGUCUGUUUUUACUAGUAAUAGUUCGGCACAAUAAUUGUAAAACUAAUAAAGUUGUGAAAUGUUAUUUUUUUUAAAAUAAAUUAAAUAGAAUAAAAAACCAGUUUUGUUGUUUAUUCAAGAAACUUUUGUCCAAAAUACGAAAAGAUAAUUUAUUAAUUUUAUUUAUCAAAUGAAUAAUACUUAAAUAUGAUUAAUUAAUCGAAUGGUGGUAAUAAAUCUUGUAGUUUCAAUAAAUUCGAAAUUAUAAAUAUCAGAAGAGAAGAGAAACAUAUAGCAUCAGUCGAAAAAGGUGGGACAAAUUUACUAUAGGUUUUACGUAAAAAACGAUGAAUUAUAUGAUACACCAAAUGAGAUAUACGUUAAUAUUGGUCAUUGUGGUAAGCAUUGAAUGAACAUAGAAAUAAAAAAUAAAUAUAGGUAUUUGACUCAAAAAGGGAUACUUUCUUAAAAUUUUGCGGAGCAUGUCAAACACAAACGUCAUCUAACCGAAAAGUUCUUGUAGGUAAACCGUUUAAUCAUUCUGAAUGAAUAUUAUAGUAAAUUAAAUGUAUAUGCAUUAAACAUUUUCUUUAAAAAUAUUUGAUCAAUUUUGUAUUUAUUUUCUCGUUAUCCUGAUUUUGACAUAUUUAACUUUUUGGGAGGGAUUUGAAUAUCAUAAAAUUUAUUUUAAUAAUAUAAUAAUAUUAUUAACUAAAGUAUUUUAAUUACUUUUUACAAAAAGUAAUAACAAUUACUACCUCCUAAUUAUAGUCAUAUCAAAACAUCAAAUCAUACAAGUAAUAAUCGGCACAAAAUAGGUAUGUAGGCACCUAUAUUAUAAAAUACAUGACUAAUAUCAUACGUAAAUAUUUUGUACAAUAAUAUUAUGUUAUUAUAUGGCUUUAUGAAUAAUGCAUAGUUUAUAAUUAAUAGUAAUUAAAAUAAGUGAAAAUUUCCAUAAUUUUAGUAAUUUUCAAAUUAAAAUAAACACAAAAAAGUAAUUUUUGAUCCUGUAUCGAAUAGGCAGUGAACCUGCGGUAAUUUUAACUGCAGUAAUUUUUUCAAUUAAUUUAUCUUAGACAGUCUAGUGAAAGUGAUCACACCAUAAUAAUCUACCUUAAAUGUAGGAUUAUAGUGUUUCAAUGAUUUUAAUGAUUUCAAUAGUACAAUAUUUUAUAUUUAAACAUUUAAUAACGUUAAAUUUUAUUGUAAUAUAACUGAUUUUGUCUGAUUCAAAUCAACUUUUGUUGAAUAGGUAAUUUACAAACUUGGCUAUCUAAACCUCUAGCAAGAACAUUUGGAUAAUCAGUCAACUACUACUAUAACGUAAAGUGUAGCAAUUAUUACUGGCAACUGGAAUCAUACCUAUUACUAAAUAUAUAUUGUUAAGACCGUAACGUUUAAGUGAAAUAUAUUAAAAUCAAAGCAUAAAAUUAAUUUUGUGUCUCCUAAGAAUAUCGUAUUAUUCGAGUAUCUAUUUCGGAUUUAUUGCAAAUAUGCUGUUAAAAUUUAUCGUAUCGUAUGUUAUUAUUUAUUCUUUUAUGCCGGUGUCAGUACACGGUAUAGGUGAGCAUACUCCUGAUCUGCCGCCUUUUCUCCCUGAAGAUCCGUAUUUCAAUUACCCUGGCCCUCUAACAAAUCCUAAUUUACCUGAAAAUCCAGGUACUCCUGGUCAACCUCACCGUUAGAUUCAAAGACAUUAAAAAUCAACUUUUGUCUGUACAAUAUUUGUGUAAUACAUUUAUCAAAAGUGAUAAAAUAAAAUAGUUUUUAAUUACAGUUUAUUUGUUGUAUUUAUUUCAUGAGACAUUACUUACUCAUCAUAUCACCUAUAAUGAUACUGUGAGAGUUUAGUUAUUUGUUUGUAAUAUUGAAAACCUUAACUCCAAAAUUAAUAC